AAUUUUCCAGAUUCAAGGUUCUAGAAAAGACUGGCAUCAUUUUGAGAAUGAGGAAUUAAAUCUGCAUCUUUAGGUAACAAGACAGGUUUAAUUCUACUAAUUCAUCUUUUUUUUGUGAUAUUUAUUUUUUCUUUUCUGAUUCAGCAACAUUAAACAUGAAAAAAUAGGCCCUGGGACAAAAAUCGGUUCAGUUGGUCAAUAUGGAAUGCCUUACAUGAAUGUAAGUAUCCUUCACAUGUUUUUUCGCGUUUGUCAGUUGGCUCUGACAUUGAAUAAUUUUCCUUUUACAGACUUUGUGCUCUGCUGAGACAUUUGUCAUAGUCUGACUCAAAAUCUAUACUUAUUAUCAUCUUCUCGCAGUGAAUUUCUUCACGCAUUAUUUUUGUUUCUGAAUUUGUAUUUUGGUUUCAACUAUUAUGGUAUAUUUUAAUAGAUACCUGUUGAACCAGUGAGCAUCAUAAACCAACUCAGGCAUAAUUGAUAUGUAACAGUUUAUAGGUUAUGCUGUUUAGUCAUAUCCUAAGAACUUUUCUUUUAAUUUCGUAUAAUGAUUUAUGUUGUGUCAAGGAGGAAAAAAAACGUAAGUCUAUUUCACAAUUACCAAUGACAGUUUUUUUAUUUUUUUCCAUUUGCGAGUUCAUCAAUCAGCAGAACUAUCAUGUGCACAUGUUUCUCAUAUUCAUGAUAAUGUGUCCAACAUAGUAGAAAAGCUUUGAAACUCAGAACCUUAUUUUUUUCGUGCUUCUAGCUAGAUACUACAUGCUUGAGCGUAGGGUUAAUUGAAUACUUAUCAAGGUCUUUCUUGGUUUAGAAAGGGAGACUGUUUACCAGUCUUGAAUUUUAUUCUUCAAUUUUCUAAUCAUAACUUCUUGUUGAGGCGAGUGGAUAACGUUUCGUAUAUAUAUUAUCAUAGUACUAAUGAUGCUUUCUUCAUGCUACAAUUCUCCGUUGUUUCUAAAUUUGUUCUGAAUGGUACUAAACUAGUUAUUUACCACCAAAACAUUUUUGUGUUGAGCUAUGUUUGUUAGAAUGUUACUAAUUCAUAAUAAAAAAACAUCUAAGUUCUGAUGCAUAAUAUCUGCUACAAAAUCUUCUUGGGUGUAAGUGUGAAACCAAAAAGAGCAUUCACCUUGUUUGAAACUUCUGAGAAAUAUGGUAUCUAAUCCAAGUUAUACAAUUAUUCAUUAUGAAACAUCAUAUCAGAUAAUAAUAGUAUGUUGUGUGCUAGUUACUAGUUACUGACAAAAAUGCGCAUAGUGGUUGAAGGCGUGAAUCAAAUACUAAUAUUUACUAGUUCGUGAAUUUGUUAAGUAUUUAAGUUGGAAAUAGGAAAUCUUUAAUGAGAAUCUGAGCAAUGAGAUUCACAUCAUUGGACCAAAAAUACAAGAGAAUGCAGGGAGGCCAUAGAGUCAUCGUAGGAGUCUAAAAAGCAUAUAUAAACUACAUACAACUUAACAGUGAUAUGUAAAAAUUUCGCUUGAUCAAUGAGGGGAAGUAGAAGAGAGAAAAAGACUAUACAGUUUCAGUUUCUAUACUUCCUGGUUUCCAGUGUUGUUCCAUCUUUAAGACUUUCCUGUGCAUCAUUGUCCAUGCCAAGGCUGAAGAGAGCAGCUGCUUGAAGAUAGUAUGCAGUGGGCCAGGUUGGAGAUAUUGAUUGAGCAUGCAUGGCAUCUCCAAGUGCCUCUUGAGCCAUGUCAUUCAUCAGAUAGCAU
rnacentral:lncRNA from 1 species